rnacentral:rRNA from 1 species
AUCUAGAGUGGUGUGGUGUGUGGAGCGCUGCCUGACCCCCUUCUUCUUCGCCGUCGCGGUUUUGGGAUGACGAGGGGGCGCGACGGCGGAGUCUAGAGGCUAGGAUCCGCGGCCAGGUCUACCGCCCGUGCCCCGCCAGCUACGACGACAGCGACGACGACAAGCGCCACUGCGACAGCGACGACCUCUACAUGGCCCCGACCAAGCGGCGCAGCCUCGAGUUCUGGUAGCGGCCGCCUAAGCAGUCGAGGGAGGAGAAGGAGGAGGAGGAGUGGAAAUAGCCAUUAAUGGUUCUUCGAUCACCACAAUCUUGACCCACCCCACGUCAACAACAUCGUGUUGAACAACGAGAAUAACAUCGACCGUGACAGGUGGCACAAACGUAGUGUUGUACGAAGGACAAGAGACGGCCCUAGGAAAUGCUCCAGCUGUUCGAGAGGCCCUACUAGGAGCGCUCCUCGCUCAGGUUCCGCUCCGCCAUGACUCCCGUCUGUGUAUAAAAUACAUUCCAACUGGACAAAACAUCUACCUUAGUCUUUGAUUAUAGGUGUGGGAGGCAGUCUGAAGAGUUGGGCUAGUGGAAAGAAAAACCGUAUAUAUCUUGACCUUGAGACCCUCUGCCGUGUAAAACUAAAAAUCAGACUUUAGUGUCGCAACAACUGGUCCAUUAGAGGGAAAAUUGGUACACGUGGCCGACCGCUAAGCCCUACUUAAGCAACGGCGGCUCAGCGCGCGUAGCUUUUGCAAAGAACGAACCAGCCCUGAGACAAAAUAAACAGCUCGUACAACAAACAACAAAUUUUCCAAAUAUAGUCAUCUCAGGUGCGACACUAUAUCAUAAUGAUCAUACAUCGUGCUAUGUUCAUACUUUGACAGUUCUCAUUUGGUACCUCCUAAUCAAGAGCGCAUGCACUUUGCAGACGCCACUGCUACCGGCUGCACGCGGCCACGCACCAUGCGGCACGCGGUGGGCCUGGCGAAGAAAGGGCCGGCGGUAAAACGGCCACGGUACCUUCGCCCUCCGGUCUCGACGCCUUCCGCUUCCUUCACGUGAGGCCACCGGCCGCUGGGUACAGCUUCAGAGACGCUCCCUCGCGCCGGAGCUGCCCGCCUGCCCCUGCGGCCUACACCUCCCCUAUCUCCUCGCCUCGUGCGCACGUCCGGUCCGGCCCGACCGACAACAAGAGACUGGUCCUCGUCCGGUGACUGGCCCCGAGUGCAGGUGACAGGCAGGCGACGUUGAACGUCCGGUCCGGCACGCGUGUGCGCAAGGUCUGCUAUCGAUGCGGAGAGACCGGAGACGGAGACGCUACUACCUACUAUCUGUAUGUAUGUACGUGUGCAUCUUCUUCUGCGUGCAAGCUAGGUCAGCGUCGCGGGCCGGAGUUGACAAGGUUAGCUAGGCUCUGGCUCCGAACCUAUCUCUUUCAGCGGCAGCGGCAGAGGUAGUCGGUGGUGGGGCGCUGCGAGCGUAAUUUUUAGCGGUUAGGUGCCCGAUUUGUUGUUUGUAUUUGUGGCAUGGGCCGGUCUCCUGACGGCCUGCCUGUUACCUACCUAUCUAGGUAAGUCGGUGGGCUAAGCUAACCGGGAGCAGGGACAACGUAGUACGACCAGCAUUACUCGUCAUAGUAUAUCAUCAUAGUAUACUAUGAUGAAGACAUUACGUAUGAUAAUAUUUAAUCAUAGAAUCUGACAGAAUAAUUAACAGUACGUACUGUGUUUCAUCAUUUUAUAAAUUAUACUAUGUCAUAGUACUAUACUAUGAUAUAGGAAAAAAAAGAAGUUAAUAAACACACAGUGUCGUAGAUUUUCAGAUCAACUGUACAUACUAUGACGAAUACUAUGAGAGUAAUGUUGGUCGGAGUAUACGUACGGGGAAAAUUAACAGUUGACAGGAGCCUACAAAAGGACCGCAUAUUUGAUUAGAGGCGCUUGGCUAGUUCUGCGUUAGUUUCCGACCAGCAACCUAAAAAUUCGGCCACCGGCCCGCUCGUGGGUCUGGUGAUGAUCGAUCGGUGCCUAUUUUCUUACACGUCGAUUAAUUCUGCUGCUACCGUUGCGGUCGCGCGUUUAGUACGUUGACGUUGGCCGCCGCUACCGAUGUCGGAUGUCCGGUGGUCGUCCAGCAGCAGGGCACCCCUAGGAAGAUUAAAAGGGCUAUUUUGCAAACUUAUUAAAGUUUUAACGAGAAACAGAAAUGGUCUUGGCCCCGGGCGAAAGCAGCUCCUAAACUUAUAAGGUCGAGCCUAAACAUAUACGCAUUCAAUAUAUUCUAUAUUUUUUCUACCACCUUUACGCGUCAGCCGAGAGAGAAAGGAGCCGGCGAGCCAAUCAAACUGGUUGCACCGCGUCACGUUUGGGCCGACGGAACAGAACAGACUUGCGCACGCAGCGACGCAAGCGAGCGGAGCGGAACGGAAACGGGACGGGGCCGGGGGCCCGCCCAACUGGAGAAGGGACGCGACGCGACGCAGCCCCUUCUUCGUUCCGUCCGGCGACCGCAACCCAACCACCCUAAAUAUGCGGGACGGCACGGGCGGAGGAAGGGCAGAGGCUGAAAACGGUCUCUCUCUCUCUCUCUCUCUCUCUCUCCCAUGCACUCGGAGGCUGCUGGUUCUCCUCGCUCCAUCUGCUAUGUGUCUCGCGUUCUUCGCGCCGCCGCGGGACGAGCGAGGCCGCUUGCACGCACGAAGGCCCGCUCCGAGGCCGUUCACUAGCUCAGUCCGCGGGUGGCAACAACGACGAGGCAGGCAGCACCUGACCGGGCACCUAUCUCUUACCUGCGCCGCUGCGCCGCCCGCGCCGACGAGGACGACGAGCACCGCCGGUGGCACGGCCGCCCCGAGACGGUCUGGUUGGGCCUGCUACGGCGCCGCGAGGCCAGCCACUACCCGCGCACCUGGUUGAUGGGCAGCUCGACCUUAAGGCCGCUGGGGACGCCGCGCGGCACCCUGCCCUAGUACACGUCGCCGUUGCCCUCCCACUGUAGCGACGCCGAUAGGUCGCGGUUGUACGUCCCGUGCGAGUCGCUGUCGUAGCCCGUCGAGCCGGUCGAGUACAAGGAACUGGAAAGCAAGUUGUCGCCAGAGUCACCAUGCUAGGGGCGAAGCUAACCCUUGGAACCCUUCGAAUGCUGUGAUUAGAACCGACCAACGUCGAAGUCGCCUCUGUAAGGAUUUCUUGAUCCGUUGGAGGACGUCUACUGUAAGGACCGCGACUUAAGUUUGUUCAACUGCCCGUGUUAUGGCGGAGUCGAACCGGAUGAGAGUUUUGAGAAGACCGAUCUGGACCGUCUAUUACGGUAGUGUCCUUCACAGGGAUAGAGUUGUCCUUGCUGUGGCCCGGAACUGGAAGAAUGGUUGUGCUUCGUGAAGGUAAAGUUGUUCUUGGUCGAUAGACCUUGCGAAUGUCCGGAGAAGUUCAGAUUAUACUGGGAGUAUGUGUAUAACAAACUAUCGUUAGUCAAGUGUCCGGGUUAAGGCGCACUCGAACCUUCGUAAUGGAGCGAGGUUCAUGAGGCUGACCUAUCCUUGGUUAAACGCCCUCGUCAAGGAUUGUAGUGGUUGAACCAGUUGGAUUUACUCGACUUGAACCGUUGGUUGUUCGAUUGACCUAGUCACGGUUUAGAGUCGUCGUACUUGCACAAUUUACAACACCUAAAUUCGUUGUUGUCGAAAUGGCGCAGUCGUUAGGGUCGGACCAAGUGUUUAGAUUGUUUAUAAAGAAGUUAUAGCAACAGAAGACGCUCGGAGUGACCGCUCCAGGGGGUCCUUGAGAAGUUAAACGGGGUCGACGUACUUCAACAUUACUCGUUUUUGGUCAACUUGCCUCAUGAAUGCUACGGUCCGUCGUAGCCGUGUGUUGACGUUUGGCACCUAAAGGUUCCUUUGCAGUAUCAACUACAGCGACCGUAAAGUUUGAUGUUUUUCUGUGACGACGAACGGGACUUAGGUCAGACGAGGCUAUUUGGGUGACAUCGUAAGACGUGGCAGGUCUUUGGCUUGCACUAUCGUAUGUCGUGAUCGUACCGGUUUACAUAGAGCCGUUCACCCACGGUUUCACCAGUCCCGGUCUUGGGGCGUUUGACGCCGACGCGGAUAAGCAUGUUACCGUUCUACCAGAAGUCUCGCGGCAGGAAGUUCCUACACAGCCUGUGGCAAUCCAAAGUCGUUGACCUCCUUUGGGAGACCUCCGAUGACCCAGACGCACUUCCACGCCAAGAGGACUUGGCAUAGGUGAAGUUGCUCCUGUUGAUGGAGGUUCAAGUUCACUCAGACAAGGGCAGCUGCCCCUGCGAGAAGUUGCACAGACUUCACUCGGCGUAACCCAAAGAAGAGUCGUUGGUCUGGAUGUUCGGCGGCGGUUAUAAGCCCGGAAUGAAGAAGUAACGUCUAGGUAUACAGGGGAAGAAUCAACGACCACCGUUCUUUAGCUUCAAGUCAUGUCGACGACAACGACCUUAGCGUCACCGGCCACCCCAAGAACACUAACGGGAGUAAAACCACCCUGACAAGCGAAACGCUGUCUUCUCUUCCUUGUUCCUUGAUUUUCUUGCUUCGUGGCUGGGAAAACGAAGCACCCCGCGCCGCGUCUUUCUGUCGCCUCCUCGAGGUGUCGACUUUCCUCGCUCCAAGAAGAGGAAGCUCCUCGACUUUUCGACGUGCCUGUUGAAACGUCUAUCGGUACUCUAUCCGCGUCCUCCGAUACCUUUCCACAUGUUCCCUUGUGAACACCUGCCUUAUGCCCACCGCUAUUUCGCCCGCGUCAGACCCAGCUACGUCCCGCGCGGCCUCAAGUUCUUGCUCUAGCUCGACGACAGGGCCCAAGUGGUGUCCUUGGACCACUCGGACUAGCCGAAGACGAAGGUCGUUCCCCUCGUCUACGACCAAAUGCUCAAGCAGCGGCCACCCUGUGACUCCCUCUUGGAACAACAAUCUCCCUGCAUGAACCCGACCUUCUUCUCCGACUCCUAGCGCGAGCCCAGCCGCUCCCCCGACCGCAUGGAAGUGCUCGAGCGGCUGGGCGGCUAGUAGGUGGCGCUGUAGUUCAGGUGGUUGUAGGAGGAGCUGCUCUUGGAGUUCCGGUUCCAGCGGCUGAAGCCCGAGAGGUUCGAGCAGCGGCUGUGGCUCUUCCCGGUGCAGAGGUGGGUUCAGUUUCCUUGUGACCCUAUAAACCUGGGCCUCAUGAUGUACUGCGUCGUCGACAGCCUCUUCUCGCUGCACAUGUCGAAGCCCCACCACUACGACCUCGACCACUCGCCCUCCGUCGGCUAGCUCUUCCCCUUCAUGCAACACGCCCUCCACUCCGUCCGGUAGCUGGGCCGGCUGGCGCUGAUGAUGCCGGACGCGCGGUAGCAGCUGGGCCGCUAGGCCCUGCGGCGCGCCUGCGGGCCCAAGGCCGCCAAGCACGUCGACCGCUACGUCACGCACCUGCUCAGGCGCCGCCGCGCCGGGUGGUACCCGUGGCAGCAGUUCCUCCACCUCCGGUACGACGAGUUGCUCGGGCUGCCCCUCCCCAGGUUGAGCCGGCCCAGCAGCCGGUGGCUCAAGCUGCCGCGGCCGUCCCCGCGCGGGAGCGUGGGCAUGUCGCUGCACCUCUAGUGGGCCAGCAGGAUGCCGCCGCGGCCCCUCCGCAGGCUAAUGUACGGGAUGAAGCUCCAGUUCGGUUUUAUUAUCUGUGUAACAUGUAAGUAAAAACCCCAUAUCUUUCACAUGUAAAACAAGGAAGAGCACAGUCGAACACUCAACACUGCUACUUAACAUGUAACUAAAAAAAAACAUGCACAACGCUCACUACACUGAACACUACGUAGCAUAUCAUCAUAAUCUAAGAAGAAACAAGUAACAUACGCUCAAAGUGAGAGAACUGUAAGUAACCUACGUUCAAGUAACAAAUGUAA